ensembl:lncRNA novel transcript, sense intronic with KIAA0556
UUAAGAGGAAAGGCCUCCAAGACGUUGGGUCUACAUCUCUGAGUUUCUUUCUCCAGUCUACUAUAUCCCUGUAAUUCUUCACAGCCCUGUUCAUUCUCCAUGCCUUCAAACGAUCUCUUUUUUUUUUCAAAUAGAUUUUUUAAAUAUUUAAAAAUAUUUUCUAGGUUUCCUAGUUGUGUUCCAGCAAGAGGUUGGUCUGAAUUAGAUAGUCUGCUAUUCCAGAAGUGUAACCUUUUGCUUGUACCCCAUAAAGAGUUAUUUCUCCCCUUGCCCCUUUUUCUUAGACUAAGCCCAUAAAAUUGAAUUUGUGUCAAUUAAAUGUGUGUGUGAUGCAACUCCAA